UACAGAGGGUGCAAGCGUUUAAUCGGAAUUACUGGGCGUAAAGCGUGCGCAGGCGGUUUUGUAAGUCUGUCGUGAAAUCCCCGGGCUCAACCUGGGAAUUGCGAUGGAGACUGCAAGGCUAGAAUCUGGCAGAGGGGGGUAGAAUUCCACGUGUAGCAGUGAAAUGCGUAGAGAUGUGGAGGAACACCGAUGGCGAAGGCAGCCCCCUGGGUCAAGAUUGACGCUCAUGCACGAAAGCGUGGGGAGCAAAGAGG
rnacentral:rRNA from 1 species